rnacentral:rRNA from 1 species
UACGAAGGGGGCUAGCGUUGCUCGGAAUGACUGGGCGUAAAGGGCGCGUAGGCGGCUUGCACAGUCAGGCGUGAAAUUCCUGGGCUCAACCUGGGGAAUGCGCUUGAGACGUGUGGGCUUGAGUGGGGAAGAGGGUCGUGGAAUUCCCAGUGUAGAGGUGAAAUUCGUAGAUAUUGGGAAGGACACCGGUGGCGAAGGCGGCGACCUGGUCCUUGACUGACGCUGGAGAAGCGAAAGCAUGGGGAGCGAACAGG